rnacentral:rRNA from 1 species
AGUGAACGCUGGCGGUAGGCCUAACACAUGCAAGUCGAACGGCAGCACAGUAAGAGCUUGCUCUUACGGGUGGCGAGUGGCGGACGGGUGAGGAAUACAUCGGAAUCUACUUUUUCGUGGGGGAUAACGUAGGGAAACUUACGCUAAUACCGCAUGCGACCUACGGGUGAAAGCAGGGGAUCUUCGGACCUUGCGCGAUUGAAUGAGCCGAUGUCGGAUUAGCUAGUUGGCGGGGUAAAGGCCCACCAAGGCGACGAUCCGUAGCUGGUCUGAGAGGAUGAUCAGCCACACUGGAACUGAGACACGGUCCAGACUCCUACGGGAGGCAGCAGUGGGGAAUAUUGGACAAUGGGCGCAAGCCUGAUCCAGCCAUACCGCGUGGGUGAAGAAGGCCUUCGGGUUGUAAAGCCCUUUUGUUGGGAAAGAAAAGCAGCAGGUUAAUACCCCGCUGUUCUGACGGUACCCAAAGAAUGAGCACCGGCUAACUUCGUG